GGGAGGCUAGAACUUUCAACUUGACGCUUAUAAUUGAGAAACAUAGGCUGAUCGAUAUUAUGAACUAUAUCUGUCAAUGUGAAUGCCCUCUUGGUUGAGGAAUUAAGUGUUCCUGAGCAUCUUCGCUUCAAAAAACUGGUUGAUGGAACUGUAGGCUGAUUACUGUUAGAGAAGACCUUGGAAAACACACCAAGAAAUGGUGCAGGCUAGGUUGCGUUGUUUGUGACAAAAACGAUUAGUGCCACCAGUAUUGAUGCUGCUAGACUUCAUGCCAUACGGGUACUUGAAUGUUUGGAGAAAUAUAUAACUGAACAUGCUGCUGGUGAUGCAGGUACACAUUCGGUUAUCUCCAAAGAAAACAGCUUUGUACAAGCAAAGGAGCAGAGUUCAUAUUAUUACUCUUCGAUACCUGUGAUCCUUCUAUGAAAACAAUACUUGAGUCAAGGGGUACUGCUAUCACUGUUGCAGCAAUUGGCAUGUGAUAUUGGGAAUGAUACAUCUAAGAAACUUGGUUGGAUGAUGGAUCUGGUGGUGGUGAUUAAACCAACUGAUGGGAUCAUCACAAUGUAUAUAAGGCCGAUAUUUGAACAAGUGUACUCGAUCAGAUGAUUGUUCCCACAACUUUAGUUGCUGAGCUUUCCAGUAUUCGUGUGGUCACGAAACUCAUAAACUCGACGUUAAGGAGCAUGUAAGUAAUUUAGAGAUUAUUAGAAUUUUUGUAAUCAGAAUUGGACAUUUUGGUUUCACUUAGUAUUUUUUUUUUUUUUUUUUGUAGUAA
rnacentral:lncRNA from 1 species